GAUGAACGCUGGCGGUAUGCUUAACACAUGCAAGUCGAACGGACUCUUCGGAGUUAGUGGCGGACGGGUGAGUAACGCGUGAGAAUCUGGCUUUGGGUUCGGGACAACCACUGGAAACGGUGGCUAAUACCGGAUGUGCCGAGAGGUAAAAGAGAAAUUGCCUGAAGAUGAGCUCGCGUCUGAUUAGCUAGUUGGUGAGGUAAAGGCUCACCAAGGCAGCGAUCAGUAGCUGGUCUGAGAGGAUGACCAGCCACACUGGGACUGAGACACGGCCCAGUCUGCUACGGGAGGCAGCAGUGGGGAAUUUUCCGCAAUGGGCGAAAGCCUGACGGAGCAAUACCGCGUGAGGGAAGAAGGCUCUUGGGUUGUAAACCUCUUUUCUUAGGGAAGAACAAAAUGACGGUACCUAAGGAAUCAGCAUCGGCUAACUCCGUG
rnacentral:rRNA from 1 species